GAUGAACGCUGGCGGCGUGCCUAAUACAUGCAAGUCGAGCGAACAGAUGAGGAGCUUGCUCCUCUGACGUUAGCGGCGGACGGGUGAGUAACACGUGGAUAACCUACCUAUAAGACUGGGAUAACUUCGGGAAACCGGAGCUAAUACCGGAUAAUAUAUUGAACCGCAUGGUUCAAUAGUGAAAGACGGUUUUGCUGUCACUUAUAGAUGGAUCCGCGCCGCAUUAGCUAGUUGGUAAGGUAACGGCCUACCAAGGCAACGAUGCGUAGCCGACCUCAGAGGGUGAUCGGCCACCCUGGAACUGAGACACGGUCCAGACUCCUACGGGAGGCAGCAGUAGGGAAUCUUCCGCAAUGGGCGAAAGCCUGACGGAGCAACGCCGCGUGAGUGAUGAAGGUCUUCGGAUCGUAAAACUCUGUUAUUAGGGAAGAACAACUGUGUAAGUAACUAUGCACGUCUUGACGGUACCUAAUCAGAAAGCCACGGCUAACUACGUG
rnacentral:rRNA from 1 species